rnacentral:rRNA from 1 species
CUGAGAGGGUGAACGGCCACAUUGGGACUGAGACACGGCCCAGACUUCUUACGGGAGGCAGCAGUGGGGAAUAUUGCACAAUGGGGGAAACCCUGAUGCAGCGACGCCGCGUGAAGGAAGAAGUUUUUCGGUAUGUAAACUUCUUCAGCAGGGAAGAUAAUGACGGUACCUGACUAAGAAGCCCCGGCUAACUACGUGCCAGCAGC